rfam:Desulfurispirillum indicum S5, complete genome.
GGAGCUUACCAUAGUAAUUGUCUGUUUGACUAUGUAGCAGCCGGGCGUGCAUCGGAGUAAUCUUCUGUACGAAGCCCCGUAACUGCGAAGGUGCGAGCCGCAACGCAAGUGAACUCGAUUCGGCCUCGUUAACGCUAAUUGAGAGUGGCCAUCCUGCCGAAUGAGGUGAAGCCUAUAAUCGUUGCAGAAGCAACAGACAAGUGCAUGCAUCGGACUCUCCGGGGUGGUUGGAGG